AGAGUUUGAUCAUGGCUCAGAUUGAACGCUGGCGGCACGCUUAACACAUGCAAGUCGAACGGCAGCGAGACCUAGCUUGCUAGGUUGUCGGCGAGUGGCGGACGGGUGAGUAAUGCGUAGGAAUCUACCCUGAAGAGUGGGAUAACCCGGGGAAACUCGGGCUAAUACUACAUACGCUCUGAGGAGGAAAGGUGGCCUCU
rnacentral:rRNA from 1 species